CCUCCAUUUCACAAUGUAAGUCAUUCUAUCAUUUCUCAUAUUCAUAUUGAUGUUAAUGAAUUUAGACUUGAUGUUAAUGAAUUUAGACAUAUAUCUAUCUAAAUUCAUUAACAUCAAUAUGAAUGUGGGAAAUGCUAGAAUGACUUACAUUGUGAAACGG
rnacentral:misc_RNA from 1 species